rnacentral:rRNA from 1 species
CCUACGGGAGGCAGCAGUAGGGAAUCUUCCGCAAUGGACGAAAGUCUGACGGAGCAACGCCGCGUGAACGAUGAAGGCCUUCGGGUCGUAAAGUUCUGUUGUUAGGGAAGAACAAGUGCUAGUUAAAUAAGCUGGCACCUUGACGGUACCUAACCAGAAAGCCACGGCUAACUACGUGCCAGCAGCCGCGGUAAUACGUAGGUGGCAAGCGUUGUCCGGAAUUAUUGGGCGUAAAGCGCGCGCAGGCGGUUUCUUAAGUCUGAUGUGAAAGCCCCCGGCUCAACCGGGGAGGGUCAUUGGAAACUGGGAAACUUGAGUGCAGAAGAGGAAAGUGGAAUUCCAAGUGUAGCGGUGAAAUGCGUAGAGAUUUGGAGGAACACCAGUGGCGAAGGCGACUUUCUGGUCUGUAACUGACGCUGAGGCGCGAAAGCGUGGGGAGCAAACAGGAUUAGAUACCCUGGUAGUCCACGCUAGUAAACGAUGAGUGCUAAGUGUUAGAGGGUUUCCGCCCUUUAGUGCUGAAGUUAACGCAUUAAGCACUCCGCCUGGGGAUACGGUCGCAAGACUGAAACUCAAAUGAAUUGACGGNNGAGACGNGCGAGACGACGACGAGGGAGAG